GAUGAAGAACGUAGCGAAAUGCGAUAAGUAAUGUGAAUUGCAGAAUUCAGUGAUUCAUCGAAUCUUUGAACGCACAUUGCGCCCGUCAGUAUUCUGGCGGGCAUGCCUGUUCGAGCGUCAUUACGCCCCUCAAGUCCCCUGUGGACUUGGUGUUGGGGAUCGGCGAGGCUGGUUUUCCAGCACAGCCGUCCCUUAAAUUAAUUGGCGGUCUCGCCGUGGCCCUCCUCUGCGCAGUAGUAAAACACUCGCAACAGGAGCCCGGCGCGGUCCACUGCCGUAAAACCCCCCAACUUUUUAUAGUUGACCUCGAAUCAGGUAGGACUACCCGCUGAACUUAAGCAUAUCAAUAAGCGGAGGA
rnacentral:misc_RNA from 1 species